rnacentral:rRNA from 1 species
AUACGGAGGAUCCGAGCGUUAUCCGGAUUUAUUGGGUUUAAAGGGAGCGUAGGUGGACAGUUAAGUCAGUUGUGAAAGUUUGCGGCUCAACCGUAAAAUUGCAGUUGAUACUGGCUGUCUUGAGUACAGUAGAGGUGGGCGGAAUUCGUGGUGUAGCGGUGAAAUGCUUAGAUAUCACGAAGAACUCCGAUUGCGAAGGCAGCUCACUGGACUGCAACUGACACUGAUGCUCGAAAGUGUGGGUAUCAAACAGGAUUAGAUACCCUGGUAGUCCACACAGUAAACGAUGAAUACUCGCUGUAUGCGAUAUACAGUAAGCGGCCAAGCGAAAGCAUUAAGUAUUCCCCCUGGGGAGUACGCCGGCAACGGUGAAACUCAAAGGAAUUGACGGGG